rnacentral:rRNA from 1 species
UCGCACCUACCGAUUGAAUGGUCCGGUGAAGCCUCGGGAUUGUGACUAGUUCCCUUCAUUGGGGAUUGGUCGCGAGAACUUGUCUACCUUAUCAUUUAGAGGAAGGUG